GGCUAGGGGUCCAAUCGGAGCUGUAGCCACCGGCCUACGCCAGAGCCACAGCAAUGCGGGAUCCGAGCCGCGUCUGCAACCUACACCACAGCUCACGGCAACACCGGAUUGUUAACCCACUGAGCAUGGGCAUGGGCCGAACCCGCAACCUCAUGGUUCCUAGUUGGAUUCGUUAACCACUGCGCCACGAUGGGAACUCCAAGGAAAUUUCUAUUUGGGGGAUUAAUUUUUCCUCCUGCUUCCUUGCUGGUGUCAUUUUCCUUUAUAACUGCAUUGUUCUGUGUGUACAAGAGGUCUCUCAAAUGUAAUCUUUGAUACAUUAGUAAUGUAUUGAUAUAAAAUAAGAUGUACUUUAUUUUUUUAAGUUUUACUUACCGAUCAUAUAUCAAACAAAAUGACAAAAUAAUCUUUCGAAACCCCAAGGAAGAUUAUGGAAUUUUAUAAUAAUAUGGAAAGGUUUGGAGAUUCAAGUUUAAAGAUGGAUGAUGCAAGGAAUAGCAGAAUUACUAAAAUGGAAAAUUAGAGCAGUCUAAAUUGUCAAGGUUUAUUAGACUAAUUGAUUGUGGGCUUUCAUUUUAAUAGCAAACGUCACUCUCAUGUUAGUCUUUCUCUGUUCCUAUGGUAUCAUGGUUUAGAUGCCUGUGAACCAGUAACAUCUAAUUUGCUGUUAGAAGCUGUUUGCACAUACCCUGUGUGGAACCAGCACCUCCUGACACGCCCUCUCCGUGCUGGUUUUCCUCCCUCCCACUCACUGACAUUUGUUGGUGCUGCCGCAGGGGGCUGAGUGGGCCGGCCUGGGGCUGGCUCUCACCUCCUGGCUCUCCUGCUGCAUAGGACACCUGUCUGGGAUGCCCAGUGCCAGCUCCCAGGACUCAGCACCUCAUCACUCAGGAGCAUGUGCCUCCAGGCACUGGAGGCCUUGCAAGCUGCCAGGUUAGUUCUUUCCAGUUGGUACUUUUUAGUGGUACGUGUUCAUAUCUCAGACUUAUGCUGUUAGAAGUGCCAUUUAAAUUUUGUUAAAAACCCACCUCCAUGUGACCUCACCUGAACUUGUGAUGAGUGGGGGCAGGGAAGAAGCUAGGCUGAGUAGACCUGGAAGCUCUGAUAUGGAACUUGCUCCUCUUCCUUCUCCCUCCAGAGUGCUCUGAGUCCUGGCUCUGAGUGAUUCCAAUCAUUGCACAUUCUUGUCCUUUUUUUUAUUAUUUUUUAAUUUUUUUAUUACUCAAAUGAAUUUAUCACAUCUUUGAGAAGGCCUCAGCACAGCCCUUGGGCUUAGGUGACAACGGAAGAAAAGAUCCAUUCUGUAUCUGCUAUGAGUUGAAUUGUCUCCUCCCCAAAUGCAUGUAUUGAAGCCCUACCCUCUCCUCGCCCCGCCCCAGGACCUCAGACUGUAAGUGUAUUUGAGAUAAGGCCUUCAAAGAUGUAAUUAAAUUAAAAUGGGCUAGUUAGAGCAGGUCCUCAACUAAUAUGACUGGUGUCCUUAUAAGAAGAGGACAUUUGCAUACAGAGGAAGAGAGAAAGAGGAGACAUAUAUGCACACAGUGGGCUGAGCUGUGAGGGAGCAGCAAGAGGGUGGCUGUCGGCAAGCCGAGGAGAGAUGCCUCAGAAGCUGUACCUGCCAAAACCUUGACCUUGAACUUCCAGCCUCUAGAACCUUGAGAAAAUACAUUUCUGCUGUUUUGAGAACCUUCUGUUGUUUAAGGCACCCCCAUCUGCAGUAUUUUUGUUGCAACAGCCUUCACAAACUAACAGAAUUUUUAUUCAACAAAUCCUGACUAUUCCCCUGCUGCUCUUGGGGACAGAGGAAGAAGGCAUUCAUUCUGGCGUGGGUAUGUAGUCCUGAUCACUUGAUUCUGUGUGUCUUUGACUUUAUGACACUGGUGCUAUCAAGGAAUGAUUGCCACUCAUCUUUCUGAGUUCUAAACUAUUUGGAUAUCAAACUUGGAUGGAAAGCUAGGGAGGGACAUCAGGGAGGCUGUAAUUAGGAGAAUUUCACAGGUGUGCAAGAAUAUCAUUGUGUAGGAUGAGAGCUGAGAUAUACUGAUAAGGGCCAGUUGCUACAAGUGAUGGCAGUGAAAAGCUGGAAGUUCUGGUUUGCCAAAAAAUCUGACACCCUAAUAAAGAUCUUAACUUUAGAGAUUAAAAUUUGAAGUCCCUUGGUUUGGCAAAGCUUCAUAAAUGGAAACCUUUCUUUUCAUUUGUAUAUGUUUCCCCCCACCUCUUCAAUGCCAUCAUUAUCCUUGGUAUCUCUAGCAGCAGAAUUCUUUAACUCAAAAUACUCAAAUCCUGAUGGAUUUAGUUCUGACCUAAGUCUCAGGUUGUGGACUCUACCUCGUUCAUUCACCAUUUCUAUGUCUAAGUUUUCUUCACCUAAGAAGAGAGAGAAUUACUGCUCCCUACUUGACAGAGAUGUGAUUUUGAUGGUGUAGGUAUCAAUUUUGAGAAAGAGAGUGGAGUUCAGAAAGGCCGUUUUCCCCACUGAACUUGGAUGUGAGAAAGUGAUGUAGCCUAUUUUAGCUUCAGUUCCCUCAUCUGUAAAAUGGACAUGGUAAUAAUUGCAAGAGUACUGUGAGGAUUCAGCAAGAACAUAUGGAAAGCACCUAGCAUCAAUCCUUGAAUAUUUAAGAGCUUAAUAUAUGUUAGCCAUUCAUCAUGAUUGUGGUGAUGACAUCACUAACAAGAGGCAAUUUCACUGCUCUUGAUGUCCUUCUGACAUAUUGUUAUGACCCAUGAAAGGAACAUCUGCUUUAAGACUCAGGUUGGUUAAAACCAUCUAAGACGAGGGGUCUAGGAUUUAGGAAACUGUAUGGAGGUAUAAGUGCAGAAUGAGGUCUUUUUCCUUUAACCUAUAUGCUAAAAUCUCAGGGUAUGGCAAAAAGCACAUGUGGAAGUUCCCAGGCUAGGGGUUGAAUCAGAGCUACAGCUGCCAGCCUAUGCCACAGCCACAGCAACACAGGAUCUGAGCCACGUCUGUGACCUACACCACGGCUCACGGCAGCACUGGAUCCUUAACCCACUGAGCGAGGCGGGGGAUGGAAUACGAGUUGGGCUCAUUACCCCUGAGCCAUGAUGGGAACUCUGGAUUCUGCAUUUCUAACAAGUUCCUGGAUGAUGGUGCGGCGUCUGCUCCAGCUUGGCCCUGGAGUGGGUGGUGGGGCUGACUGUGAUCCCAAUUCACUUGUCAAUUUCAUUUUUUUUAAUCCAAUAAUAACCAAUUAUUAUUUUCUAUUGCUUUGCAUUCAACUUCAGAACAAUUUUGUUUUCAUUUUUCAUCUUAAAUUGACAGGGCUCUUACUGCUUUCCCAUCCCUGGUCUCUCUGUCUGGUGCUUAAAUAAUGCCUUUUUAAGAAAACAAAAUAAGACCAACAAUGACUAAUAUUUAUAUAAAGGUUUCUAUGUGCCAGGAACUGUUUACUGAAAUUCUUGCAACACCUGGUAAGGUAGGCGUGUUAAUUAUCCACAUCUUACAGGUGAGAAAGCUGCGGCAGGUAAAGCUAAAAUAACUUCCUUAGAUGCUCACAUAGUGCAUGGGAACUAGGAUUAUUUUAGGAGUCUAUUUAAAGGAGCCUUUUGUAAAUCAGAGACCCUGGGGAGAGCUGGAACAGUCCAGUCUAAGGUAUAAGUUUUUGUUACUCAUCAUUUGGUUUCAUCAUUUUUUACGAAAUGGGGACCCCACCCUCCUAGAGGCAGCAAUGGUGGUAUUUAUGCAGAAUGCAACCCCAGACUAACUGUGGAGGCUGGUUAAGUCUGGUAUCAUGAUGAGUACCUAGCAUGACCCUGGGGCAAGACCUCAGACAGGGAGCUCAGCUGUGGUUUGCAAAGGAACAAAGAUCCCAGCAAGCAGGACAGAUCCUGCUUCCAUUCUGAUUUGAGUGUAAAUUCAACUUUUGUCAAGCAAAGAUUUUUAAAUUGAUUUAUGGUCAACUUCGGAAGGUUUUUAUUUUUCGUUGUAAAUUGGCAGGGCCCUUGCUACUUUUCUGCCCCCAGUCUCUCAAUCUAGCACUUUAAAAUGUUGAGUGUAUUUCUCACUGUGGCGCGGUGGGAUUGGCGGCGUCACUGCAGCGCUAGGAUGCGGGUUUGAUCCCUGGUCUAGUACAGUAGUUUAAAGGAGCUGAUGUUGUUGCAGCUGCCAUGUAGGUCACAACUGUGGCUCGGAUCUGAUCCCUGGCCUAGGAACUCCAUAUGCUGUGGGGUGGCCAGAAAAAAGAAAAGAAAAGAAAUGAAACAAACAAAAAUGUUAAGAGUAGGAAUAAGACCACUGGAGCACCUGCAAGCCUGCCUUGUGGGUUGUGGGCUGUUCUGAAAGAGCUGUUGUAGAUGGACCUGAGCAUGUCCUGCAUGAGGCCAGGGGACGUGGUCUUCAGGAUCUGUGGCUGCCACAUCUUGUGGAAGUGCUCAUACAUUGCUCAGAGUCCAUGGUCAGUUGUAAACCUGUCUUACUCUGGGACCUAGGACUAGCCACUAACCAUCCCUAGUCUUCAUUUUCGUCUUUUCUAAAAUGAAAGGAUUUGGGACACAACCCAAAUGUCCAUUGACAGGUGAUUGGAUUAGCAAGAUAUGGUAUACAUACACAAUGGAAUACUACUCAGCCAUAAAAAAGAACAAAAUAAUGCCAUUUGCAGCAACAUGGGUGGAACUAGAGUCUCUCACACUUAGUGAAGUUAAGUCAGAAAGAGAAAGACAAAUGCCAUAUGAUAUCACUUAUAUCUGUAAUCUAAUAUAGAGCACAAAUGAACCUUUCCACAGAAAAGAAAAUCAUGGACUUGGAGAAUAGACUUGUGGUUGCCAAGAGGGAGGGGGAGGGAGUGUGGUGGAUGGGGAGCUUGGGGUUAAUAGAUGCAAACUAUGGACUUUGGACUGGAUGAGCAAUGAGAUCUUGCUGUGUAGCACUGGGAACUAUGUCUGGUCACUUAUGAUGGAGCAUGACAAUGUGAGAAAAUAGAAUGUAUACAUGUAUAUGCAACUGGGUCACCAUGCUGUAAGUAGAAAAAAAAAU
rnacentral:lncRNA from 1 species